AGGGGAAUAUUGCACAAUGGACGGAAGUCUGAUGCAGCAACGCCGCGUGCGGGAUGACGGCCUUCGGGUUGUAAACCGCUUUUUCUCAUGACGAAGUUUUUUGACGGUAGUGGGGGAAGAAGCACCGGCUAACUACGUGCCAGCAGCCGCGGUGAUACGUAGGGUGCGAGCGUUGUCCGGAAUUAUUGGGCGUAAAGAGCUUGUAGGCGGUUUGUCGCGUCGAUAGUGCAAACUCAGUGCUUAACGCUGAGCCUGCUGUUGAUACGGGCAGACUAGAGGAAGGUAGGGGAGAAUGGAAUUCCCGGUGGAGCGGUGGAAUGCGCAGAUAUCGGGAGGAACACCGGUGGCGAAGGCGGUUCUCUGGGCCUUUCCUGACGCUGAGAAGCGAAAGCGUGGGGAGCGAACAGG
rnacentral:rRNA from 1 species